rnacentral:rRNA from 1 species
AUUGAACGCUGGCGGCAGGCCUAACACAUGCAAGUCGAACGAGUGGCGGACGGGUGCGUAAUGUCUGGGAAACUGCCUGAUGGAGGGGGAUAACUACUGGCAACGGUAGCAAAUACCGCAUAACAUCGGAUGUGACCAGAUGGGAUUAGCGAGUAGGUGGGGUAACGGCUCACCUAGGCGACGAUCCCUAGCUGGUCUGCGAGGAUGACCAGCAAGACUGGAACUGAGCCACGGCCCAGACUCCUACGGGAGGCAGCAGUGGGGAAUAUUGAACAAUGGGCGCAAGCCUGAUGCAGCCAUGCCGCGUGUAUGAAGAAGGCCUUCGGGUUGUAAAGUACUUUCAGCGGGGAGGCGUUACCCGCAGAAGAAGCACCGGCUAACUCCGUGCCAGCAGCCGCGGUAAUAC